rnacentral:SRP_RNA from 2 species
CAUUGGUAGCCUCGCAACUAUGUACUAUGAACCCCGCCAGGACCGGAAGGUAGCAACGGUAGUAGAUACACAGUGUGCCGAGGAUGUGCUAGUGGGG